rnacentral:rRNA from 1 species
GAUCAUGGCUCAGGAUGAACGCUAGCGGCAGGCUUAACACAUGCAAGUCGAGGGGCAGCGCGAUGUAGCAAUACAUUGGCGGCGACCGGCGCACGGGUGCGUAACACGUAUGGAACUUACCCAUUACUGGGAGAUAGCCCGGAGAAAUCCGGAUUAAUAUCCCAUAAUAAACGAAGUGGCAUCACUUUGUUUUGAAAGCUCCGGCGGUAAAGGAUGGCCAUGCGCACGAUUAGCUAGUAGGUGAGGUAACGGCUCACCUAGGCUACGAUCGUUAGGGGGCCUGAGAGGGUUAUCCCCCACACUGGUACUGAGACACGGACCAGACUCCUACGGGAGGCAGCAGUGAGGAAUAUUGCGCAAUGGAGGCAACUCUGACGCAGCCAUGCCGCGUGCAGGAAGAAGGCGCUACGCGUUGUAAACUGCUUUUAACCGGGAAGAAACCCUCCGACGUGUCGGAGGUUGACGGUACCGGAGGAAUAAGCACCGGCUAACUUCGUG